rnacentral:lncRNA from 1 species
UGCACCAGACGAAUUAAGUCCAAUAUUUAAGUGGAGAAACUGGUAAAGUUGCUUCCAUGUAAUCAGGAAGUCACGGGUUCAAGCCUUGGAAACAGUCCCUAGCAGAAAUGUAAGGUGAGGCUAUGUGCAAUAGAUCCUUGUAGUCGGGCCCUUCCCUGAACCCUGCAAAUAGCAGGAGCUUAGUGCAACGGGCUGACUUUAUUUAAGUGGAGAAGGAACUCACCUGUGUGAGCUAUAGAUGGAGGCAACUAAGAAGCAACACUUGGAACAAAAUUCAAACAAUAUAAAAAUCGGGUACUUCAGAAGGAUAAAGCCGAAAAAAAGAAGCUAUAGAUAGA